rnacentral:lncRNA from 1 species
NNNNNNNNNGAGGGUAUAGUAGGCCGAGGCCAGGCACGCCGAGGGUCUCGAGGUCCUUUAGUGCCACUAGAGGACGUCACAAUGUCGGGGCCAUGGGAGUCGAGGACAGGAACUCAGCAGAUUCAUCUUUGUUAUUUGAUUAUUCCAAAGGUAUAUUUGUGGGAGAAAUGCAGGAAGGAAGGAGGGAGAUGGGAGGAGGGUGCAGGGGUGAGCAGGGUGCCCGGGGCUGGUGUUUCCACCCAGUGGCAUGGAUUUGUCCUGAUUGUGCUAAGAGAAGACGCUGCCUCCUUUUCUUCCUCCGAGACCCACGCAUGGUCAAACAGUUUAAAUAAGAGGCGAACGCAAUGCAGAGCACGGCACUGAGAGAGCUGCGUAAGAGAGAACGCAAUGCAGUCUUCCUCCUCAUUGUCACAGAGUUGGCCAAAACCAUUGUCCCCAUUCUCUAGACUCCAAAAAUGAUGCCCUGGAAAGGCAGGAGAUAUCACAGGGUGCCCAGUGGGACAACCCGAUCCCUGCUCAAGCGUGGGAACCACCCCAGACCCUUCCUUCCAGCCAACUGUGAUCCCAGAGAGACGGAAGCCAGAAGAGCCUCUCACCCCCUCUCCUGGGUGCUGGGUCUGCAGCGUGAGAUUAGAUGGAGCUCUCUGUGCCCAUCCAGGAAGCCUUGAGUUUCUGUUAAUAUGCAAUACAAGCUUACAAUAGAGGGAAUCCCUCCAAAACACAACACACCAUAUUGUUUAUAAGAGGCUACCAGGGACUGAAAAGUAAACACAAAAAGACAAACAAAGUCUUCCCUACACCCAGCAGGGCCAAAGAGAUUUUUCCCUCUUUCCAAUAAGCUCUGAGAAAUGGGGUCCCUGCUCCCCACACCACAACCCACACCUGGAACCCCUCCCCCCUACAGGCUGCCCGGCCACCUGCUCCACUGUACUCGGCAAACACACAACUACAUUUUGUUUGUUUUCCUCUCUGGGCCUCUGAUCAAAUUUUUAAGCACCUCCUUGUUGCUUUAUUCUCCCUGAAUUUCCUGGAAGUGCUAACCUCAAAGUACCACGGAAAAUGCCUUCCUAG